GCCUGCGUGGGCGAUCACCCGGAUAAUCUGGAAAAUGCGAGUUGGGGACAAGGCCAAGGUGGUUGUUGAACAGAAGAGAGUUCCAGGCACCAGCGACACCUCCUGGCUGCUUCUAUUCCAAUCCCAGCAGUCCUGCCCGACGCCUAAACUGGGCUGCCCAUCUCAUACCUCCCAGAACACUUGCAGCAUCUUGUUGAACACAACAAGCGUUGAUGACUACAUAUGCACUAAGCCUGGGGGCCUGGAGUUAGGCCUGGUAA